UACGUAGGGUGCAAGCGUUGUCCGGAAUUAUUGGGCGUAAAGAGCUCGUAGGCGGUCUGUUGCGUCGGCUGUGAAAACCCGGGGCUCAACUCCGGGCCUGCAGCCGAUACGGGCAGACUAGAGUUCGGCAGGGGAGACUGGAAUUCCUGGUGUAGCGGUGAAAUGCGCAGAUAUCAGGAGGAACACCGGUGGCGAAGGCGGGUCUCUGGGCCACUACUGACGCUGAGAAGCGAAAGCAUGGGGAGCGAACAGG
rnacentral:rRNA from 1 species